CCGCAGGGUAUCGAUGAUGCCAGCAAGGACAACCGGGGCGCCCAGGAGGCCCUGAACCCCGAGGACGAGGUGGACGAGUUCCUGAGCCGGGCCAUCGACGCCCGCAGCAUCGACCAGCUCCGCAAGGACCAUGUCAAGAAGUUCCUGCUCACGUUCCAGACGCCCGAGCUGGAGAAGAAGUACUCCAAGAAGGUGGAUGAGCGCUUUGCCAGCUACGUGGCCUGCACCCUGCUUGUCUUCUGCUUCAUCUGCUGCAUCCAGCUCGUGCUG